GACUAUCUCUCACAUCACUAGAAUGAUUAUCCACAUAAAGAGAAUGAAGAAGACUUCUACAAUGAUGGUGGAGACAAAUGAAAAUUGGAGUUCAUGUUGCCUUUUCCUGGAGAAGCAGAGAACAAGUAAAUCAAGUAUAUGGGAGGGGAAAGAGUAAGGACAGAACUGGGACUCAUUCCUCUCUUACUAAGGGGAUGUCCCAUGGAAAGAACACCUCUUACCAGCCUCCUAAUAAACGUUCUGAUGGUA